GCUCCGGUGGCCUAGUGGUUAGAUCAUCCGCCUAGGAUGCGGGAGGCUGCGGGUUCCAACCCCAGCCGAGUCA